GACGAACGCUGGCGGCGUGCUUAACACAUGCAAGUCGAACGGAAAGGCCCUGCUUUUGUGGGGUGCUCGAGUGGCGAACGGGUGAGUAACACGUGAGUAACCUGCCCUUGACUUUGGGAUAACUUCAGGAAACUCGGGCUAAUACCGGAUAGGAGCUCCUGCUGCACGGUGUGGGUUGGAAAGUUUCGGCGGUUGGGGAUGGACUCGCGGCUUAUCAGCUUGUUGGUGGGGUAGUGGCUUACCAGGGGUUCGACGGGUAGCCGGCCUGAGAGGGUGACCGGCGACAUUGGGACUGAGAUACGGCCCAGACGGCUACGGGAGGCAGCAGUGGGGAAUAUUGCACAGUGGGCGGAAGCCUGAGGCGGCAGCGCCGCGUGCGGGAUGACGGCCUUCGGGUUGUAAACCGCUUUCGCCUGUGACGAAGCGUGAGUGACGGUAAUGGGUAAAGAAGCACCGGCUAACUACGUG
rnacentral:rRNA from 1 species